AUCUGAAAGGUCUGGGAGUUUUCAUUGUUUGUAAUGUGACUGGCAUUUUUAAAAAAUGUCUGGGAGUCGAUUCCUAAAAGAGUCGAGUCCCCGGGUCUUAUGGCACCAGUGUUGGGGACUCGAGAGUCGAUUGCAAAGCUUUGGAAUUGAUUCCACACAGACUGGAAUUAAUUUCGGGACAAGGUAUUUAAAAUACUGAGAUGGCAGUUAACAGAAUGCGUAAUCAGGAGUCCAGUUGAAAGACUGAGUCCCUCCACUAGCCUCCCCACAAUGAGGCUCACAGCUGAUCAGGUUCCACAGGUAAAGGCCUAAAGGUCCGUGCAGCGUCUCAUAUGGAUUUCCAAAGGCAUUGUACAUGAAGAAAGCAGAGCACACAGAUGAGAAGAGGAUGAGCACUGCACAGACGAUGAUGAUGCUCACAUGCAGACUAGCUGGGAUCACAUCCACCAGGACAUUUCAUGUAGUGGAGCCAGAAAAGAAAGGCAAUAUUUUCAAGCAAGUUAAUGGAAGUUAAGUAAUUCAUUAAGUAGUAUUCUGCUUUAUGUAUUGUAUAUUUAAUGUGAACAGUUAUUUCAUGGUAUUUAAUAGAAGCUUAUGAAAGAUAUAUUGUAGACCUAUGCUACUUAUUCUGGGUGAACAAUGAGACUCAAAAAUACUCUUUGUUUGGAUACAAGUAUUUGAGUAAAUGUGAGAAAUACUGUAUUUUAUUAUGCUCUAAAAAAAAAAGUAAGGUUCCAUUAGGGAACCACUGGGGGAUCUCACUGAAAGAACCAUACAAUUUUUCAAGUACAUUUGAAGCAAGAUUCUUAGAGGCACUUUUAAGGGUUCAGACAAAGAAGAAGCCCUAAAGGAUCAUUCCUAAAGGUUUUUACAGAUUAAAUUUCUACCUGGGCUAAACAUUCCAAAAAUAGAUUAAUACUGACACAUGCCCAGAUCACUAGACUUAAAUAAGUCAAUGCAAUGUUGUUCAGUGAGACUGGGUAUGCGAAACCUCUCAAAUUUGGGCUUGUUCCUAAUCUCAUUAGUGAAAACAAUUCAUUAAGCCUAAUAAGUCUAAUAACAGUGGCACGUUUGAGAGCAAAAUUGGUGAGAAACCAUCCUUUUUCCGUACAGCUUAUCCUACACGGCGUCACAGGGGGAGCCUGGAGCCUAUCCCAGGGAACUUGGGGCACAAGGCAUGGGACACCCUGGAUAAGGUGCCAACCCAUCAUAGGGCACAAUUGCACACACUUUCACACAUUAUGGACAAUAUGGAAAUGCCAGUCAGCCUACAACGCAUGUCUUUGGACUGGGGGACUACACCAGAGUACCCGGAGGAAACCCCCGAAGCAUGGGGAGAACAUGCAAACACACAGAGGUGCGAGGAAAACAUGCUAACCACUAAGACAUUGUGACCUCUGGUGAGAAACCAAUCGCUACAAAAAUUAAAUGAAUUCAUGGUCACAAUUCAUACAUUUUAAAUGGAGGAGGUGUGUCUCUGUCCACAUUACUAUGGGGCAUCCCCCAAAAGUUGGGUUGCCACUCAGUGUGAUAAAUUUUUUUCUGAAUUAUUGACAGAAACUGUUUUUUUUGUUUGUUUGUUUGUUUUAAAUAAAAGCCUAUAAUGUUACUUUAAAUAUUACGUUUCCAAUUGCGCUCAUAGUUUCAGGGUCCCCAUUUGAUCGUGAGCUUUGGGUUUCUGUCUGUAGGGAGUUUUACAUGUUCUCCCGAUGUCUGUGUGGGUUCGUUUUGGGUUCUCGGUUUUCCUCACAGAGGAUUAGGUGGAUUUGCUCUAAAUUCCCCUAGGAAUGAAUGAGUUUGUAAAUGUAUGUGUUGCACUGGGAGGACUAGCAUGGCAUCCGGGGUGUAUUCCCACUUCACACCCAGUUUUCCUGGGGUAGACUCCAGAACAAGGAUUAAGAGGUGAGGAUGAAUUAAUUCAUUUCUAGUUGUGUUGUGUUGGACUUUAAUAGCUGAAGAAUUUCAAAGCAAUGUAAAGGAUUUUUUAUUUUAUUUGCUUUUGCCAUGCAGACCUGACAAUGCUGGACGCAGAGGCGACCAGCUCGUGUAUAAAAACAGUUUACUUAAUUCUAAACCCAUCAGGCUGCUGGUAUUUGUGUAUUUAACACAGAAGAUCACAUUUAACCCUCCUGUUUGCAUGAUUUCAGUGCUCAUAUUUAGAUUAUAGUUGACAGGUGAUGAGGAUUUUUUAUUUAUUUAUUUAUUUAUUUUAAUUGUUUUUUUUUUUUUUGCUGUGUUCCUCACUGCUGCCUGCACAACGCUGGGUGAUAGUGAGAGGAUGGAAGCCACAGCUUUAUGGCUUUGGUAUGAACUGGACACACACACUGCUAUUAUAUUAAACAGUGUUGCAGGGUGUAGCUCAAGCCACUUAAACCCACGUGUUAAACCAGACCCAACAGUCAAAAGUACCCAGGUCUAAGAGGGAGAGAAAGAACAAAAAUGUCCAUAUGGCCUAUGCUACUUUUCAUUUCGUUAUCACAGGUGUACUGUAGUCUAGGUUUUUGGUUUCCACGCAGACCUGCGAGUUUUUAAUGCCGUCAGAAUGACACAGCUGCUUAGUUUACUUACAAGAGAA